rnacentral:lncRNA from 1 species
UAAUAUUAACGUGUUUCACUCAAUACUCUUCAAACUUCCAACACUCUUGCACCUAAUUCAAAUCACAUAUAUAAUCAAAUUGAAUUAAGUAGAAUAUGUUGGUAAAGAGCUCUGUGAAGCUCUCUGUGGCUAACGGACCAAACAAAUGAAGGAGAUGCAGAAAAAAUAAGCAACACACACCAAGUGUUCGACAAAAUUCCAAGCUGAGAAGCUGCACAGAAAAUGAGAUUUGGCCGGCAAUGAGGUGCACGCCCUACGCGCUGAUUCGUUCCCCGAGGUUAACGCAAGUUCUUCCACCCGAAGCACGCACCUGCUCUUGACCUCCUUGCAGGUGGACACCUUCUUGUCCUGUGAAACGAGCGCGUCCACGGAGAUGACGCCCUUGAGAUCCACGACAUACUUGGCGAUGCCAGCAACGAGGCAGUGACCGUAGGGGUAGGGGCGCGCGGUUGCGAGAGCCGUCGUCGAAGUUCACCAUUGUCGAAGUUCACCAUUGUUGCAAAUAGGAGUUCCAGCUCUUAGAUCGGGCAAUACAAUGUCUUUGGAACAAAAAUGAGUGUGGAUUAUGAGAAAGGAAAUAAGUGUGUGAGUGUGGAUUAUGAGAAAGGAAAUAAGAUUGUGAAUUUUAAGGAAAGAUUAGGAGAAAUCAUUUCCUUAAUAAUUAUCAUGGG